rnacentral:lncRNA from 1 species
UGCACACAUAUAUACAAUUACAUAUAUUUAUAUGCAAUUAUAUAUAACUGUAUAUUGAUUGUCCCUUGAACAACAUGGGUUUGAAUGGCAUGGGUCCACUUACAUAAGGAUUCUUUUUUUUUUUUAAGUUUAUUUAUCUAUAGGCAAUUAGUGUAUCCAGUGACUAAUUAAUGUACCAAGUGACUCCCACGUGCCAAAUCGCAUGUGAAACUCCAGAACAGUCCUACUCAAUGUCACUUAUGUCUGUGUGGGAAAGAAUUGAUGAUGAAAACUGUAGGAAUGGAAUGAAUAUCAAUGCUUCCUUUUUCUCUUUUUUUUCAAUAAUGAAGUCUCAACCUCAUUGUUUCUUUGAUUUUCUUUCAGUUUCUUUCAGUUUGAAUAUGAUAUACCUAAAGUUUAGGACUUGUUUUGGGGGUGUUUUGGGUAUUCAUUUUUUAUUGAGGCAUAACUGACAUAUCACAUUAUAUUACAUGCAGAUGUUUUUCUCUAAAACUUUUUCUUUCUUUCUUUCUCUGUGACUUGGCCGCAUCUUUUCACACCCAUCGUUACUGCAGAGAGUCCAUAUUGUACAGAAGAAUUGGUCUUCCAGGCCACUUCCUGGACUGACCCACACUGCUCUCCAUCAAAUUCUCAGGUCUGAUUAGGGUUGGCAACACCAUCCCUCAUAGUUUCAUAUAUCAGAUUCAGUCUUUUCUAGUUGCAUGUGACCUCCUAUUUAAGGGGGAGGAGUAAAAUUUCUCCUUAGAUGUAUGUGUAGUCAUUCGUGUCCUACUCUCUGUGACCCCGUGGACUGUAGCCCCACCAGUCUCCUCUGUCCAUGGAAUUCUCCAGGCAGGAAUACUGGAGGGGGUCGCCAUGCCCUCCUCCAGGGGAUCUUCCCCACCCAGGGAUCGAACCCGCGUCUCCUGUGUCUCCUGCGUUGCAGGCGGGUUCUUUCCCCACUGAACCAUCGGGGAAGCCCUGCGGCAGAAAAGCAGGUCUCUGUGGAGGGCCGGUCUCUCACAUCUUCGUGGCCGGAAAAUCACGGCAGGAAACCCGCAGUGUUUUGCCGGGACCAAGGGAUUUGGGCACAGACCGAAAGCUUCCUGAUCUCCAGCUAUUCCCCAUCGGCGCAGAUGAGUCAAGGAGGAAAUGCUCGGGUUUUGAGCUAAUGCAGAAAGAGAACACAGCUGAGAUCGACGUUCAGAACGCAGACACAGAGAACCGGGGACAUCUGCGCAGGCCCCAGACCUACCUGAAGUCUACCAAAACCCUCUUGAAGAAAGAUCCCUUGCCGUCGUGUCUGGGACUUCUGCCAUCGAGCUCCUCCCGCUCCUCUUCCUCCUCUUCUUUUUCAUCUGCCUGUGCUGCUGUGGAGGCCAACAGGGUUCCACUGAUAAUGAGACCAAGAGCCAACCGGAUUUUAACAGCUCUAACCCUGGCAUGGACUUCUCAGAAGAAAAUCCCGACGAUGUCUCGGUGCACCUCCCACCAGAGGAGGACAGGCAGAGGGACAUGCAGGUGAGUCUCCCCACCUCCCCUGACCCCUCCCCUGGCCCCUCCCCCGGGGCUCACCCCUCACUUUGUGUCUCCCAGGUCACCCCGAGGAAUGCCCAUGGGGCUCUUCUGAGUCCUCCGCUGAGCCGCACCAGGAUUCCUUCAUGGAGAGUGAGGUUUCACUCCCAUCUUGCAGCCCUGAGGACUCCUCAGUAUAGCCCCGCAUGGACCCGCCUUCACUUCAUCCAGAGAGCGGAGCUGGAGCUGGCUGUGUGCCCUCCAUGGCGCAAGGGCCCCUUAAGGAGUGUGUGAGUCAUCAUCUUGUGUGUGAGUGUGUGCGUGCACCUGCCCAGUGCGUCUGACUCUUU